GCGGAAUGGAAAACGAAGUUGAUGGAUGCAGUGCACGGCAGGUGUUUGAUAAAAUGUUUGGACGUGUUUGGAUGAAGGUGUAGAUAGAAUUCUAGCUCAGAAGGCUUUCCUAAGGGGAAAGAAGCUAGANGAUGCAAAGNUAAAGCUAGCAAAGAGUUUGAACUUGAGAGAAGUGGCUGAAUUUUGACAGCAUAACACUAAUUUCAUUCAAGUUGGUUU
rnacentral:lncRNA from 1 species